GAAAGGCUUAAGGAAACCCGCAUGCAAAUCGUGGAGCUGUGGCAGGGAAUCUGAGGUGGGGGCCCCGAGGCUGUGCUGAGGCCUCAGGCGUUGUGUGUCUCCCCUCCGCAGCCCCCUACACCAUCAUCACUUUCCCCUUCCUGUUCGCUGUGAUGUUUGGAGACUGUGGUCAUGGAACCGUGAUGCUCCUGGCUGCACUUUGGAUGAUUCUGAAUGAGAGACGCUUGCUCUCCCAGAAGACAGACAAUGAGAUUUGGAACUUGGCUUCAAACAAACUCACAUUUCUGAACUCGUAUAAAAUGAAGAUGUCGGUGAUCC
rnacentral:lncRNA from 1 species